rnacentral:ncRNA from 2 species
ACAUGACCCACAGCACGAGGUGCCCCACGACCGCGAGAGCGGGCGGAGGGGAGAAUCAGGGAAGCCGGUGAGAAUCCGGCACAGGGCCCGCUACGGUAACCCGGCCUCUCGAGACGCUGCGCCCAGCGCAGACACCCGAGAUGAGCCUGGAAGUCCGGAGACCGGCCUCGCGCUGACCAGCCUG